AUCUGGGAGAAGCUGGUCCACAGGAAGAUACCGUAGACUCACUUGGAGAUAAUGCCAACCUGGUUGAUAACAUGAUGGCUCUAUUAUGGAAGCUUACUGCUGCCCAAAAUCUCCAACAACGUAGAUACACAAAAUCUGCUCCUGCUGCUCUGAAGUCCAGUAAGAGAGCCUGUUUCUGGAAGUAUUGUGUCACCGACUGACUGACAGACUCAACACCUUAACAUCCAACCGCUUCGCAGUCAGCUCUACACAAUGCUAGAGCCAAUCUCUCAGUAAAAUUCCUAUCAAGCAGGCCCUGCCUCAUCCAGUGAGAAGCUGCAGCCCAGAGGAUGUGUAAAUACUUUUGUAGUUAAACAUCUGUAACACAAUGUGAAUAAA